rnacentral:misc_RNA from 1 species
CAAAAUUAUGCAUGGAAAAUGAUAUAAAUUUUUUGUAACCUUUAGGUUCAUAUUUGAUGUCUGAACUGUUCUUUCAUUAUUUGAAUACUGGAAUUUGCUCGCUGCCAAACAAGGCUGCAACUGUACAAAUUGCAGUUGUCUAUGUAUCUGCAUAUGCUGUUCUGUUACAUGAAAAUAUUGAAUUUAGAGGGAGUUAUUUUCAAGUAUUAAUUUUUGGUGGGU